rnacentral:rRNA from 1 species
AAACGUAGGAGGCGAGCGUUAUUCGGAUUUACUGGGCGUAAAGCGUGUGCAGGUGGUGCGGUAAGUUGGAUGUGAAAGCUCCUGGCUUAACUAGGAGAGGUCGUUCAAUACUACCGUGCUAGAGAGUGAGAGAGGGAAGUGGAAUUCCGGGUGUAGUGGUGAAAUGCGUAGAUAUCCGGAGGAACACCAGUGGCGAAAGCGACUUCCUGGCUCAUUUCUGACACUCAGACACGAAAGCUAGGGUAGCAAACGGGAUUAGAGACCCCGGUAGUCCUAGCCGUAAACGAUGUAGACUUGGCGUUGGUGGUGUUAAAUCCAUCAGUGCCGAAGCUAACGCGAUAAGUCUACCGCCUGGGGAUUACGGCCGCAAGGCUAAA